GUUGUUGUUGGUGUGCGCAGUAUCGUACUUGAACCCACUGUUGUUGUUGUUCCCUUGGAAGAACAUUUGGUUGUUAAUUCUGUUUGGAAUGUUCAAGUCUUCAAAGAAACUUCCUUCCACCAUGUUUCCUUGAAACUGGAGAUGUUCUUGAUGAUUCUGGACCGUUGGUUGAAGCAGUUGAGUUUCCAUGACCAUAGAAGUCUGGUUUUGGUUGCUCUGGACAUUUCUGUUGUACAUGGACAUGAACUCGGAGAUCGUAUUCUGUCCAUCUUCAGGAACUCCAAUACCGGUUAAGUCAAUUGCUGAGAAACCGAGUUCACUGGCCUUGGCUGAGAGAAUCCAACCACAAGUUUAUCUUUCAACAACUAUCACUGAUCGUUGACAAAAAAAAAACUAGCACUAGAUCCUUUUAAUUAUUUAUAAUCUUUUAUUAAAAUAAUAAAAUAUUCAAGUAGACCAUAUUUAGACAUGAUCUAAAAUUUUGAAGUAUUUUGAAGUUGAUAUGAUACAUAAUUUUUUACUUCAUAUUAUAGAAAUUGAGUCAAACUUUCAACUUUUAUGGUCAAAACAUAUACUGUACUUAUUAGUUGAAAUAGAAAUUGGUGAAAUGAUCUACAUUGGUGAAUGUUAAUUACGCUGCAAUGCAGUUGACAAUUGACACUCCUAUGUGGCGAAGGGGUCCUCUUGAUCCCAAGGUAAUGUCAUUAACUAAUCUCAAAACAUUUCAAGUAAUUAAUCAGGUUUGAAUAUUAAUUACGCUGCUUGAUCAACAUACAAUAUACAUUAUUGAAAUUAAUUUAAUUGGUAAACGUGUUUCAGACUAUGCAAUGCUUGUGGGAUAAAGUUUAGGAAGGAAAAAGAAAGGAGAUCCAAAAUUAAUUAGUGGUUGAUAAAUUGUUGUAUUUGUAUUUAGUCAAUAAUAAAAAGAGAGAAAAUGACUCUUAGUUAGGGAUAUGAAAUCAAUGUCUCUGAAUAAGCUUUUAUGAGUUUAAAUUUUUUUAAAAAAAAUAAUGUUCCAUUAACCCACUUCAACAACCAAAUUAUUUUUUAAAUAAACUCUAUUUAGGAAAUGAUGUUAAUGGCAUUAAUGUUUUUGAACAAAAUAGCAUCUUGAUUUUUUUAUUUUUUUAAGAAUACCAAAGCAUAUGCAAGUGUUUGCAAAAUAAUUGUAUUUUAAAAAUAGUUUUGGUAUUCAAUUGGAUGAAUGGAAACCAAGUGAAGAGAAUUAAUCAGGCUUCAUUAAAAGUGCUAAGAAUAUCAAAAGCUAUUCAAUUCUUUAAAAUGCUAACUCACUUGUAUUAAAAUUCUUUAAAAUGCUUACCACCAAAUUCAACAUAUAUACCAUGAAUUAUCAUUUAUAGAGUGGAUACGGAAAUUAAACAAAAGAAAAAGGUAUUUAAGAAUACCUUACAUGCAUGAGGAAUCAUUUAUUUCUUUUAUUCUUUUCGUCUGGUGUGUUUGUGUGUGCUCGAUCGGUGGUCAUAGGGAACACUGACCAUGCUCCAUUACCAAACGAGCCACUUGUAACAAACACGUUUUCUUUCUAGUACAAUUAUUAGUAUCAGCAUCUUCUAAUAACUAUUAAUCCAAUCUUAUAUCAGAAGUAACUAUUUUUCUUUUCUUUUGGAGUGUGUGUGUGUGCUCGUGCUCCGUGGUCGGUGGGAGCACUGACCCAUGCUCAGCUAACAACGACCCACUUGCAACAAACAUAUUCUAACAACUACCAUAUUCUUGUAAAAAUUAUUUAAUCAACCAGUCCAAAAUUCAAAUUAAUUUAAGUCCUUAACAAAAGGUUUGUUCAAUGUUAUCCGAAUUUUGUUUUUCAUUAAUUAAGUGGUUAUAAAGAAGGUAUUUAAGAAUACCUUUUAUCCCGAAAGUUUUUUUUUUUUUCUUUGGUUUGGUCUAGUAUGAUGUGUCUGUGCUCGAUCGCUGGUUAACAGGAGCACUGACCAAUGCUCUGUUACCAACGAGCUACUUCAACACACACGUUUGCUUUCAAGUAAAAUUCUAACCACCAUCUUCUUGCAAUAAAUAAUGUUCCAAGACACGAAUCCCACUUUCCUUUUUUUUUGUAAAUAACAAAUAAAACAUAACAACAAAAAUAUAAGACAAACUCCAAAUUAUUAUUAUAUAGUAUGAAAACUUAAAUUAUGUUCGUCCCCCAAGUAUAUGGGAUGUGUAAGAGUUUCAGCAGCCGAGAUCAAGACACACAUAGUAACAGAGAGUUUCAGAGACUCCCUUGCAAGCGAGGAGACAGAGAGACAGAUCCAGAAAAAUAAUACGAAAUGGUUGUACACUGACAUAACCAGGUUUGCUGCAGGUGCAUUCAUAUUUAUUUGAUUUAUUAGAAUUUUCAUUUAUUAUUAGUUUAGUACGAAAACUCAAAAUACCCUGUUGGCACUGAGGACGUAUAAGAAAAGGGAGACAUGUGUGAAACCAAUUUUCGUGAGGGUUAGAGGAUGAAAAUCAAAAACCAAAACCAGGCAUUAAGAGCAGACAAAAGAGACCAACUUACCGGCAAAAUGAGAACCAUUUUUUUCAACAAUGAUCUCAACUCGUACGUCUUUCACCAAGUAAGCAAAUGUGUAAUGAAAGAACUCACAUUGAUGAACAAUCACUUGAAACCACCAUCAUAGCAGAGCAGACAGCAAAAUCAACGUCCUUCCACUUCACCAAAAUGUGUGUAUUUUCAUAAGCAUCAUCAAUGCCUAAAGAAGUCUCCCCAAACCCAUGGAUCAAGGCAUUAACAAACUCAGCAGGAGAAAACGCCACAAGCAGAGUGGGACUUCACAGCUUAAGCCAACGUAUUGGCUAAGUCCAGAAAGCGCUUCAGCAUCUGCAACUUGCUCUCUAGGCUUAUGAACUGCCAAUUAAAGUAGAUUAGCCUUGACCAAACUAAUAAACACAAACACAAGACCAUCAAAAGCAGUAAAGCAAAAGACAACACUUAUCUGGUGGACCAUUUAUAUGAAUGGAUUGUGUGCUUUUGUUGCGCGGAAGUGUGUACUUGUUCGCUCGUUCACUUACCCAUGCAUACCGUCUACCCCACGAGCCACUUGACGACAAGCACAUGCACAGUUGCACUAAGUGCUUAACUAAUGCAAAGUGAUUGUAUAGUAAAGUGUAAACGUCACUGCUGAUGGAAUAUGAUUGUAUUGUAUCAAUCUCCUUUUGAACACUAUUUACUGAUCAUAAUCAAUUUAUUAACCUGUGUGUUUGUUUAUUUUUCAUUUGAUCUGAUUCGUGGACUCAGCGAGAAGAUGGGGGAAUCAAGAUAGACGGUGUUUUCAGUAAAAACAAAUUUUUAGUCUAAUAAUUGUCGAAGAGCCGGUGUAAGUAUAUAUGUUGAAUUAUUUCCUUUAUUUAUAGAGUGGAUAAAGAAAAUGAAAAAACUAGGAAUAAUGAAUGUUAAACAAAAGAAAAAGGUAUUUAAGAAUACCUAACAUGAAGAAUCAUAUAUUUUCUUUUUAUUUUCUUUCAGUUUGGUGUGUCUGGGUGCUCGAUCGCUGGCUGGUCUUUGGGAACACUGACCCAUGCUCCAAUACCAAACGAGCAAGUCGCAACAAACACGUUUGCUUUCUAGUACAAUUGUUAGUAUAUCUUCUUCUAAUAACAAUUAAUCCAAUCUUAUUACUUAUAUCAGUAGUAACUAUUUUUUCAUUUGGAGUUUGUGUGUGUGCUCGUGUUCUGUGGUCGGUGGGAGCACUGACCCAUGCUCGAAUACCAUCGACUUCGAGCCAUUUGCAACAAACACAUUCAGUAACAAUUGUCAUAUUAUUGUAAAAAAUAUUUAAUCAACAAAACUUCAAAGUGGUUCAGGUUAUUAACAAAGGUUUGUUCAAUGUUUAUGUUAUUCGUAUUUUGUUUUUUCAAUAUUAAGUAUAUAAUAAGGUAUUUACUGAAAAGAAAUUCUUCCGGAUAGUCGUUUUUAGUUUAUUUAAAAAAAAACAGAUCUCUAAUAAAGAAAAUAAUCAAAAGAGGUUUCAUUGAAGGAUAAAUAUGCAUUCACACAUUUAGGGUUAAGUAAUCUAAAAUGGUUUAGAGUUAAGAGGUUGGAUUUUGGGAUGUGUUCAAAUUUAUAAAAAUUAAAAAUUAAAAUUUUCAAAAUAAAAAAUGCUGUUUUGAUCAUUUUAUUUUUCGAGAACUAUUUUGUGAUAAAAACUUAAAAAUUGUUAUUUGAGAUAAUUGACAUUUACUGAAUGUAAUAAAGUAAUAAAAAUAUUGAUAAAAAAGGUAUUUAAGAAUACCUUUUAUUCAGAAUAUUUGUUUUUUCUUUCUUUGGUUUGGUUUCAUAUGAUGUGUUUUGUGUUCGAUCGCUGGUUAAUAGGAGCACUGACCCAUGCUCUAUUACCAACGAGCCACUUCAACACACACAUUAGCUUGCUUUCGAGUAAAAUUGUAAGUAUAAUCCUCUUGUAAUAAAUAAUUCUUGAAGUCGUUUCGAGACGCACCAGACUGUUCCUUUUUUUUUAUAACACGCACCAGACUGUUCAAUCAUCAAUAUACCACACGUAACAACAAAUAAUUAAGAGACUCCAAAUUAUAUAAUAUAAAAACUUACAUUAUGUUCGUCCCCAAAGCGUAUGGGGUGUAUAAAACUAAAAACAGCUGAUGAUGAGAGAGUUUCACCAGCCAAGACCAAGACACACACAGUAACAGAGAGUUUCAGAGACUCCCUUACAAGCGAGGAGACGGAGACGGAGAGAUACCCAGAAAAAUAUUACAUUGUAGAGAGAAUGUAAGAACACCAAAGAUAAAAAAUAAACCAGAAGAUGAAAUCUAUUCCCCAAGAACUUAGAACCAUAUGGAUACAUCUUGCUGCUUCUGCUGCUGCAUACCAUCCAUCGUUCCCACUACUCCCGGCAUCGACAUAUCAUCUCUGUAAUCGAAUGAGGCCAUAUCAAACGGUGGAGAAUCAAACACAAGCUGAAACCUGUUGCUGCUAGCGUUGUUAUGCGCAGCUUCAAAGUUAUUGUUGUUGGUGUGCGCAGUAUCGUACUUGAACCCACUGUUGUUGUUGUUCCCUUGAAAGAACAUUUGGUUGUUAACUCUGUUUGGAAUGUUCAAGUCUUCAAAAAAACUUCCUUCCACCAUGUUUCCUUGAAACUGGAGAUGUUCUUGAUGAUUCUGGACCGUUGGUUGAAGCAGUUGACUUUCCGUGACCAUAGAAGUCUGGUUUUGGUUGCUCUGGACGUUUCUGUCGUACAUGGACAUGAGCUCGGAGAUCAUCUUCUGCCCAUCUUCAGGAACUCCAAUACCGGUUAAGUCAAUUGGCUGAGAAACCGAGUUCACUGGCCUUGGCUGAGAGAAUCCAACCACAGGCUUAACUUCACUGACAUGGAACCUGGACGGUGCUCCAUAGGGUAAGCCGCUGUCUCGAUGUGGACAAACAAACUGAUGGUUGUCUCUUGAGUUCCUAUCAAGAAAACCACGGCUGACAUCGCCAUGCGCACACCCAGUGUUCUCGCAGGUGAAGAUGGUUCUGUCCAUCAUAGCGUUGAGAUCUCUGUUUGGCUUCCUCUUCCUCAUGAACUCUGAUGGAACUUCUUCCUUCACAGGGAAGUUAGCAGCCAUCCCAAAGUUAACU
rnacentral:lncRNA from 1 species